CGCGCUUUGAGUGACAGUGUUUGGAGCAAAUAACGACCAAAAAAGGAGAACGUAAAAACAAAAACAAAAUCACGCAGACCCAGAAGUUCAGUCAGACAACUCUUCAGUGGACCCUCCUUCUCCCCCGUCCCCCAGAUUGGACAGCCCCUUUCAGGAAGUCUGCGCUGCCAGCUCCGCCCCCGGACUGACAUAAAGACACAUCCACUUUCUCUGCAGAGCUUACGGUGGAGUUGACUACCUUAAAGAAAUCCUCUUUAUUCAUCAUGAAAUGAACAUUAAAAAAAGCGCUGACUUGUGCACACUUCUUGCUGAGAGCGGCGAAACGGACAGCGGAACAUCGCAGAUGAAUUUCUUGCAACUCCAGGAAGCGGACAAUAAUGCUGAAAAACGGAAGAACAAUAUAAGCUAUUUAAAUAAAGAUUAUUAUUAUUAUUAUAUUAUUUUUAAGCACCGAUAUUAACACACUUGUCCUAAAUCAAAGCAAUUAACUUAUUUUGAAAAGAUAGUUUAACAAUGUUGAUAUUCUUCUACUUCUACUUUAUUCUUUUAUACCUUAUACUUUUAUACUGUUUGUUUACAUUUUAAAGUAUUAAAAUUUGACAUCUGCAAGGUCUUCAAGCAAUCAGUUGUAUAAUAAAAUAAUAAUUUUGCUUAAAUUCGUUUUUUUUCUUUUUUUACGAAGAAUUAGAUUUUGUUUCCACAUUUUGUAACCAUUGAAUAAAUAUAUGUAAAUAUGAUUUUUUAUUUUUCAAAAUAAAAUAAAUAAACAAAUAUAUUCACACAAAGACUACAAUUUAACAGUGUUUUUAAUGCUUUAGUGUAUUUCUAGUG